rnacentral:rRNA from 1 species
AAUAUUGCACAAUGGGCGCAAGCCUGAUGCAGCCAUGCCGCGUGUAUGGAGAAGGCCUUCGGGUUGUAAAGUACUUUCAGCAGUGAGGAAGGUGGAUAUGUUAAUAGCAUAUUCAUUUGACGUUAGCUGCAGAAGAAGCACCGGCUAACUCCGUGCCAGCAGCCGCGGUAAUACGGAGGGUGCGAGCGUUAAUCGGAAUUACUGGGCGUAAAGCGCAUGCAGGUGGUUUGUUAAGUCAGAUGUGAAAGCCCGGGGCUCAACCUCGGAAUUGCAUUUGAAACUGGCAAACUAGAGUACUGUAGAGGGGGUAGAAUUUCAGGUGUAGCGGUGAAAUGCGUAGAGAUCUGAAGGAAUACCGGUGGCGAAGGCGGCCCCCUGGACAGAUACUGACACUCAGAUGCGAAAGCGUGGGGAGCAAACAGGAUUAGAUACCCUGGUAG